AUAUAUUAGGAGAUAUCCGAUAAAAUUGGAAUGAUGCAGAGAAAAUUAGUAUAGCUCUUAUGCAAGAAUAACAUGCACAAAUCGAGAGAGUUCAAAAAGAGUA